CUAGUUUCUAACCUAUGAAGGGAAGAUAAUAAGACCUGCUCAGAGUGUUGGUGUGAAAACGAAGGAAGAUAGCACACAUCAUGUCUCUAAGUUUACCAACAUCCAGCUUAAAAUGCAGUGCUCAGAACCCAGCAAGUACCCACACCAUGGUUCAUCAACUGGAGAGCAUGUGAUUGGUGCUUUCGUCAGCAGAAUGAAUCAGAGAAACUAGGUUUCACUUGGGCAGUGUGAAGAGUGCAGAUGGAAACCAGGGGCAAGCUUCAGCCAUGGGGAGGGCCCACACACUGCUGGGAGAGCCCGGGCACCAAGGGAGGGCCAGUGCCAUUGUUUUUGGAUAAGGAAACUGAGGUAGGAAGCUGCUAAGCAAUUUUUCCCCCGGACACACAGUGAGUCCAGCAGAAGAACCAUCUAGCUGAUCCCAGUCUGAGUUCCUGAUCCAAAGAAUCACAAGAAAUAAUAAAUUAUCGUUGUAAGCCACCAA
rnacentral:lncRNA from 10 species